rnacentral:rRNA from 1 species
UACAGAGGUCCCAAGCGUUGUUCGGAUUCACUGGGCGUAAAGGGUGCGUAGGCGGUCGGGUAAGUCUGAUGUGAAAUCUCACAGCUUAACUGUGAAACUGCAUUGGAUACUAUUCGGCUUGAGAGUUGGAGGGGGGACUGGAAUUCUUGGUGUAGCAGUGAAAUGCGUAGAUAUCAAGAGGAACACCAGUGGCGAAGGCGGCUCACUGGCCCGAUACUGACGCUGAGGCACGAAAGCGUGGGGAGCAAACAGG